AGAGCCAGGGAGCGUCGCCAGCCUGGAAACAGGCCGGUGGCACCCUCCCGAACUCCACCCUUGAAUAAAUUACCUUUGUUGCUUUGGCGGGCCGCCUCGUGCCAGCGGCUUCGGCUGUUGAGUGCCCGCCAGAGAACCCCAAACCCUGUCUUACAGUGUCGUCCGAGUACUAUAUAAUAGUUAAAACUUUCAACAACGGAUCUCUUGGUUCU
rnacentral:misc_RNA from 1 species